rnacentral:rRNA from 1 species
AACGCUGAAGACUUUAGCUUGCUAGAGUUGGAAGAGUUGCGAACGGGUGAGUAACGCGUAGGUAACCUGCCUAUUAGUGGGGGAUAACUAUUGGAAACGAUAGCUAAUACCGCAUAAUAGUGUUUAACACAUGUUAGAGACUUAAAAGAUGCAAUUGCAUCACUAGUAGAUGGACCUGCGUUGUAUUAGCUAGUUGGUGGGGUAACGGCCUACCAAGGCGACGAUACAUAGCCGACCUGAGAGGGUGAUCGGCCACACUGGGACUGAGACACGGCCCAGACUCCUACGGGAGGCAGCAGUAGGGAAUCUUCGGCAAUGGGGGCAACCCUGACCGAGCAACGCCGCGUGAGUGAAGAAGGUUUUCGGAUCGUAAAGCUCUGUUGUAAGAGAAGAACGUGUGUGAGAGUGGAAAGUUCACACAGUGACGGUAACUUACCAGAAAGGGACGGCUAACUACGUGCCAGCAGCCGCGGUAAUACGUAGGUCCCGAGCGUUGUCCGGAUUUAUUGGGCGUAAAGCGAGCGCAGGCGGUUUAAUAAGUCUGAAGUUAAAGGCAGUGGCUUAACCAUUGUUCGCUUUGGAAACUGUUAAACUUGAGUGCAGAAGGGGAGAGUGGAAUUCCAUGUGUAGCGGUGAAAUGCGUAGAUAUAUGGAGGAACACCGGUGGCGAAAGCGGCUCUCUGGUCUGUAACUGACGCUGAGGCUCGAAAGCGUGGGGAGCAAACAGGAUUAGAUACCCU